rnacentral:lncRNA from 1 species
AUCAAGUAGAUAUUCAAGGAAGAACACUCACUGGAACAUAGAUGUACAGAAUCCGCAAAGAUCUGAGCAAAAUAUCCUGACCAGGUUCUGGUAAUUGUGGAAAAGCUCUCAGGCUCUCAGGCUGUUAACACUGACAACCAGAGGAAGUUGGGUCCAGUUGAUGCCACUGUAGCUCAUUUAAUAUGAAUCACCAGGAAAAGGAUUCAGCUUCCUUCUGAAAAGGAGAUCUUCCUGUUUGUGAACAAGACAGUCCCAUAGUCCAGCCUAACUAUGGGACAGCUUUUCAGAAGGAAAAAG